rnacentral:lncRNA from 1 species
AUUCUUUCUUUCGUUUGUUUCUCUGAGUCUUUCCAUGCUUUACUCAUUACAACGUCAAAGUAUGAAUAGGAAGGAGCGCAUCAAAUCCCAACUUACCUGACAUUCAUUCCCAAACACACGUACGGCAAGUCUGCUUCUUGGCUCUUUUUAAUCACAAAUUUCUCAUAAGUAUAUACAUUCUUGUUCGAUACCAUGUUGUUGUAAGAAUCAUUACAUAAAUAUAUCUUAGUUUUCAGCCUUCGCUGUUGGUUACUUUUAAUGUACAUCAG